rnacentral:lncRNA from 1 species
UGGGUUUCAUGGGCCGCUUCAUCUUUAGCCUCUCCAUCCAAUUACAUCUGAUCCCAGGACUCUGAGUCACUCUCCAGUGUUCUGAGCAAGCUUCAUAUUACAGGCCACUAUGAGUAUUUCAUUAUCUGUAACAGUGCUGACAAUGGGAUCAUAGACAUGCAAGGCUUGAUUUCUAUGAGAGUACACUCAGGAAAUCCUGAUACUUUUAUUUUGUCAGGAUUUUAUUUAUGCAUUGUAUUUUGGCAAAAUCAUAUCUACAUAAAUGGAUAAAUGCCCAAAGCUGGUCGUGUCUUUUGUUUUCCUUUUUCAGAUAUUUGAGAUCCAUUCUGACAGUGUCUGAAACUGAAUCAGUCUGUUAGUAAAGAAAAUCAUGGAUGAAAUGAUUCGUAGCAGGAAGAGGGAUGAAGACGUGAUUGAUCCGAACAAAAGUGACGUGAUCCUUUUAUUAAACAAAGGAGCGAUGGAAAUCAAGCAAGCAAUCGAUGUCUUUAAACUCUCCUGUGACUCAGCUGGAGACAACAGCCUGUGCAACGAGCAUCUUUGCAAUGUUUUUGUAAGGUUGGUAUUUUUGGAAUUCAAGAAAUGCAUUCAUUUGGACAAGAAGUAAAUAGUGUAUAAUGUAAAUCUGUAAAUAUGUUCUUCUAGAGGUAAGUUGUGGAUAAAUCCACUAAAAUAGAUCAUUUACUCACCUUUGGAUAAUUCUAUACCUUUAUAACGUAUCCCCCCUUUACAGAAGAUGAGGAAAUAAAGACUCUUUUCCAUGUAGUUAUAGUGAUCUGAAGCUUUCAAGGCUCCAAACAGAUGCAAAAGCACAAUAAAAGUAUCAUAAAAGUAGUAUAGUAAGUCUCACACAUUAGCUUUUAGGUUUUUAGGCUUACAUUUGAUUCCUUUAUUUUUCUGUGAACAUACACCGAGAGAUUUUGUAGGGGCUUGGAUGCACUCACAUGUCUCAGGAGGUCUUUAAAUGAGGUUAGGAACUCUUAUAAGCUCAUAAAUACGAUCCUCUCCCUGCUUUGUCGGUCUUGACACAGUUGACACAGUUUUCUACUUACAGACGAAACUUGAUAGAAUAGUGAAUUAUGUAGACAAGACACCAUUUUCAGAGGUUAACAAAGGGUUCUCACACAACUCUGUGCCUGAGAGAUCCACUCAAGACAAAUUAUUUAUCUGUUAUGGUAGUAUAUCCACAGAAAGGGAGUUACAUAUAGUGUUUAAGCAUUUCAUGAU